UAGAUUGAGAGAAGAAAGGGAAAAUUUAAAUACUACUCCUGUAGUUCAAUAUUUUCUCACUUUAGUACUAUAUGAUUUAACGUAUAUCAAUAUAUAAGUACUCUAUGAUUUUAUUUUAUUUUUUUAAUCAAUCCCUUCGUUAAUAUUUUGCUAAAUUAUAUACAAAAAAUUUUAAAUAUUGUACCUAAAUUUAUCAAAUAUACAUCCUAAUAUUAUUUAGUUUUAACUUUAUCACUGAUUUAACGAAAAAAAAUAUAAUGAAAACGAUAAUAAAAAAGAGAAAAAUAAAAUCAUAUUGUACGAAAGUGAUACAUUUUAAACCACAAAGUAUUAAAAUAAAAAAAAAAGUGAAAUUAUAAAAAUGAUAUUUAAAGUUUUUCUAAAAAGAAAAGAUGGAUUCGAGUUGAAAU
rnacentral:lncRNA from 1 species